GGUGGCUCAGUGGUAGAGCACUUGCCUUGCAUGCCUGACGCCCUGGGUUCAAUUCUCAGUACCA
rnacentral:tRNA from 1 species